UAAGCGAAGUGUGAAAUCGUGUGGCUCAACCAUGCGGCUAUGCUUUGAACUGCUGAACUUGAGAGUGAGAGAGGUUACUGGAAUUUCUAGUGUAGGAGUGAAAUCCGUAGAUAUUAGAAGGAACACCGAUGGCGUAGGCAGGUAACUGGCUCAUUUCUGACGCUCAGGCACGAAAGCGUGGGGAGCAAACGGGAUUAGAUACCCCGGUAGUCCACGCCGUAAACGAUGGAUGCUA
rnacentral:rRNA from 1 species